rnacentral:rRNA from 1 species
GAUGAACGCUGGCGGCGUGCCUAAUACAUGCAAGUCGAGCGAACAGAUGAGGAGCUUGCUCCUCUGACGUUAGCGGCGGACGGGUGAGUAACACGUGGAUAACCUACCUAUAAGACUGGGAUAACUUCGGGAAACCUGAGCUAAUACCGGAUAAUAUAUUGAACCGCAUGGUUCAAUAGUGAAAGACGGUUUUGCUGUCACUUAUAGAUGGAUCCGCGCCGCAUUAGCUAGUUGGUAAGGUAACGGCUUACCAAGGCAACGAUGCGUAGCCGACCUGAGAGGGUGAUCGGCCACACUGGAACUGAGACACGGUCCAGACUCCUACGGGAGGCAGCAGUAGGGAAUCUUCCGCAAUGGGCGAAAGCCUGACGGAGCAACGCCGCGUGAGUGAUGAAGGUCUUCGGAUCGUAAAACUCUGUUAUUAGGGAAGAACAAAUGUGUAAGUAACUAUGCACGUCUUGACGGUACCUAAUCAGAAAGCCACGGCUAACUACGUG